rnacentral:rRNA from 1 species
GACGAACGCUGGCGGCGUGCUUAACACAUGCAAGUCGAACGAAGAGCGAUGGAAGCUUGCUUCUAUCAAUCUUAGUGGCGAACGGGUAAGUAACACGUAAUCAACCUGCCCUUCAGAGGGGGACAACAGUUGGAAACGACUGCUAAUACCGCAUACGAUCUAAUCUCGGCAUCGAGGAUAGAUGAAAGGUGGCCUCUACAUGUAAGCUAUCACUGAAGGAGGGGAUUGCGUCUGAUUAGCUAGUUGGAGGGGUAACGGCCCACCAAGGCGAUGAUCAGUAGCCGGUCUGAGAGGAUGAACGGCCACAUUGGGACUGAGACACGGCCCAGACUCCUACGGGAGGCAGCAGUGGGGAAUCUUCCGCAAUGGACGAAAGUCUGACGGAGCAACGCCGCGUGAGUGAUGACGGCCUUCGGGUUGUAAAGCUCUGUUAAUCGGGACGAAAGGCCUUCUUGCGAAUAGUGAGAAGGAUUGACGGUACCGGAAUAGAAAGCCACGGCUAACUACGUG